rnacentral:rRNA from 1 species
UACAGAGGUCUCAAGCGUUGUUCGGAUUCAUUGGGCGUAAAGGGUGCGUAGGCGGCGCGGUAAGUCGGGUGUGAAAUCUCGGAGCUUAACUCCGAAACUGCAUUCGAUACUGCGGUGCUUGAGGACUGGAGAGGAGACUGGAAUUCAUGGUGUAGCAGUGAAAUGCGUAGAGAUCAUGAGGAAGACCAGUGGCGAAGGCGGGUCUCUGGACAGUUCCUGGCACUGAGACACGAAGGCCAGGGGAGCAAACGGG